UAACCCCCUUUUUUUAAUAAAUAAAUAAAAAAUAUUUAAAUGGGCUAAGCUUGAACAGAUUUUAUUGUUUGAUAUUAGAACAUGGGCCCAACUUAACUUAGAAGAUAAAUUUUGAGUGAAGCCCAAACUUACCUUAAUAAAAGAGGGUUGAAAUAUGAAAACCCUAAUUUCAAACUUAAGGAAGGCGGUUGCAGUACUAAGGGAGGCGGUCACACAAAUCAGAAUGGCUAGGCAGCAAACAAGAUAAACGAACAAAGAAUGAAGACGACAAUGGUAGAGACAUAGGCGACAACGACGACGUCUAGGAUGACCUCGGGUGAUGACAGCGACAACACGGUGGCGACGGUGGCAACAAGGCAACGACGGUGAUGACGUAAUGACAUCGUCCAAGGUGUGAGUUUUUCUCGUUUUUUUAUUUUACUCUAAAAAAACAAAUCUUAUUUUUAUAUUAGCUUACAUUUAUAUAACAAUAGAACUGUGUAAAAGGAAGGAAAUACCUUCUCUUCUUCUGGCUUGUUUCCUUUUGCUACUGCCUUUGUUGUCUCCUUUUUUCUGCUUAAGUAUUUUUUCUAUUCGUGUUUGAUUUCUCUUCUCUGUGUGUUUUUUAUCAGUGGUGUCCAAAAAAUAGAUCCUCCCUUUUUGAAAUUGAUAAGGCGUUUUUAUAGAGUUUUUUAUAUGUUUAGUUGUUUUCUGGUAUGUCUUGGUCUUUCUCUAUCUAUUUCCCGUUUGAUGUUUUGAUUGCUUUGCUCAUCAUCUGCCUUUUUCUACAUCCCUGAUGCCUUCAUAGUUUUAGCUUAUUUGUUCUGAUUUGUUCAUUGCUGAGCUUUUAUUUGUCUUUUAUUUUAUUUUUUUUUAACUCAAAAAUUUGUCUCUUUGUUCUGCACAAAGUGUACCAAGAGUGACUUAAAAAAAAAGUUUUUUUUUUAUGUUUCUCUAAUUAGUUAAAACAGGAACAUAUGUAUCAAUAAGCAUGACUUGUGCAUCAAUGGCAGUCAUCAUCAACAUAGCAGGGUUUGGCAGUGA
rnacentral:lncRNA from 1 species